AAAUAAUUGUAGGGUUGGGGGCCACCACAACAUGAGGAACUGUAUUAAAGUGUCACCGCAUCAGGAAGGUUGAGAACCACUGCUAGGUCCAGUGACACAUUCAGGACAAGAAUGGUCUCUGACCUGGUCACUCUUCCACUUGUAUGAUCUCUGUUAGGUAUUUGGACUUCAGUUUUAGGGUCCUAUUAUUUGUGUUCAUUCAUCGUAGAGCUUAUAAUGACCCCGCAUCUUAAGGCAAGGAUAAUGUCAGAAGUGUGUUCGCUUAUCCAAUAAAAAGGUGGUGGGCACGUCCUCAGACAGCUGUCUGAAGCUCAGAUGCAGGGCUCAGGUUGCCUGGGUUCGAAUCCCCACCUAGCUAGUCCCUCACCUAGCUAGUCCCUCACCUAGCUAGUCCCUCAACACUUCCCCUGCCGUGUUAGUGAACUUUUCAUUGCUGUCAAAAUACCUGAGGAAAUGCUAAAGCGGAAAAGGUUUGUUUGAAACAGGAUCUUGUCCUCAAAACUUUAUCCGGUGACCGUGCUGUGGACGUGUGGUGAAACAGACUAUUAUAGUAACGAGGGGCACGCCAUAGAGAAGAACGUUCACCUCACUAGAAAAACAGGAAGUGGGGAAGAAGGAUCCAGGGUGAGCUAUACCUCCAAAGAUGUACAGCUGGAAGCCUUUCAUCUAGUCAGGCCCCACCCCCUUUGACUCCAUUCAGUAUGAAUUUAUCAAAGAAUAGCCAUUUGUGAAGCUAGCACACUCAAGAUCUAGACAGCCCCUAAAAGAGCCACCAAGUAAGAACCAAGCAUGAAUCUUUUGAGUGUAUCCUUUACUUCUAAACCACACCCCCAUCUACAAAAUAGAGAUCGGCUUGAGACCUGCUUCAUACUCUUGUUGAGAUGAUUAAAUGUGGUAAUACUUUGUGGAGCGCUUAGGGUGGUACCCGGCACGCGGUGAAUGUUCUGGGAAGACUUGUGACAUAAGGGGAAAUAUUUAAUACCUGCAGCACCUCUGAUCAACAUUGUCUAAGCACUGGGGACAAGACUGUGCUGGGGCGGGGGGGGGGGGGGGUCAGCACAGAACAAAACAACAAACAGCUAAGUGAGAGCCAUCUCAGGAGUGCCCGGCACUAAGUAGACACCUACAACAUAGACAGGCAUGGAAGAAGAAAGGCCUUCCUAUGAGAAGAGAGAGAGUGAACUGGGCUCCAGAGCACAGUGAGCAGCUGGAACUGAAUUCCUUCAGCCAGAAUCACACAAGCAAAGAGAGAGAGCCGUGAAGACAAAGCAGCCAUCCUCAUCUCAGGACCAAACCAUCCGAUUCAAAGCCGGGAAGGCUCCUGAGGCCAUCAGAGCAUCUAGAUAGGGAUCAGAAAAGAUGCACCCCUGGGGUGAUGCUCUAGAAAGGGUCUUGGGAAGUGUUCAACUGACCUGAGGACACACGGACAGCUAGAGACCUCUGCAGAGGAGCCAAACAGGUUUGGAAACCAGUUUGGGCUCAGCAACCCUGCACAGUGGGCAGUCACCUGCGCACAGGAGGAUCUGGAGCAGAACCCGACCGAACACCAGGAAGUCAGCCCAGGUUUGCCGAGAGCCUGAAGGCAUGCAGUCCAAAGAGAUCCAUCAGUCUGCUCACGAAGGGAAUAAAGCUGGCUCCCCGAUGUAAUUACAGGCUGGCUGAAUUGGAAUUCCGAACUUUGGGACAUAGCAGGGGGCACCAUGAACUGUGCCAGGUUGUGUACUGGGCCAAAAGAUGAAAUACCAAACUAAUCUGACCGGUUUCAAGAAUCAGUUUGCAAAAAAAAAAAAAAAAAAGAAAAAAAAAAAAAAAAGCACCAGCAUAUGCCAAUCUGUGUGCGGGGACUGGGUCACAUGGCUUCGUCUCGUUGGCAAAGCUCUUCCACGAAGGAAAUUACAAAUCUUCAUAGAUUCAGAACCAUUUAAUAGCUGGCAAGCAACUGCCAGUCACCAAAGCGACUGCCAGAUCGACUGAAAUCUCUUAAAGGGCCCUUUUCUCCUCGGGUUGUCCCCGUAAGCAGCUUUGCCUACCACCACUAACAGGUGUUACGUCUUUCCUAAAAAGAAGCACGCAUUAUGUUCAGCUCUUGACCUACUAGGUACCAACAAACUAAAUCCCAGAGAAGGAAAGAAACUGCAGCAGGCCGUGAUAUCACCACCCAAGAUUGCUGGCUUGGGAAUGGCAAAGGCCAGAUAAAGGCUUUACCUGAUAAUUCUUUAUGCUCUAGCGGAUUCCAUGACAUCUUGAAACCUCUCAUCCCAUCUGUGACGUGGAAAACUUGUGUCUGAAUGGUUUUGGAUUACCAACUAGAUCCAAGGCAGUCCUCUGACCAGACAAGAUAAAUUGUGCAGUUUUGUGUGUUUCUGUGUGUGUCUUUGCAUGUGCGCAUGUGGACGUGUUGUAUGCAGAUGUGUGUGUACAGACGUAUGUGCACCUGACUAUGAUAGCAGAAGCCGGGGGUCAGCAUGAUGCAUCCUGCUCUAUCUUUCUAUGCCUUAUUCCUUUGAGUCACAGUCUCUCACGGAACCUGGAGCUAGGCUGGUAGCCACCGAGUUCCAGCAAAUCCUCCGGUCUCUGUCUCUGCACCAGCAAGGGAAACAGCCACACCUGGCUGCUUUUUACCGGAGUGCUAAGAUCAGAGCUCCGGUCCAAGGACUCCACAGCAAGCGGACUUUGCACGUAGAGUCUCUCCAGUCACAUACCACUUUAUUUUAAACAGACAAAAGUGAAACAAUGUUUCUCAAAAUGAUGGUGGUCCAGGUGCUGCUGACUCCCCAGGGCCUGGAAAGCUUUAAUGAUAACGCUUUCGAGUUUCUGUUUACCUUUUCAUCAUAAUGGAAGCAUCAACACAGCCAUGCUCUGAUCUAGCUGACGGGCCCAUUUGGAUUUGAUUUUAGGACUCAAUUUGGAAUCUCUGCUCCUGAUUCCACGGGUACCGGGUGGUAUUAUUUGAAUGGCUGCGAGCUGGAAAGAGCAGAAGAGAAAACGGUGUUGAUACAAAGCAAGCAUUUGGUGCCAAGUCAGGGCAUGAGAUGCAGGCUACGCUUCUAGAAGCUCCUGAGAAUAUGGGACAGGGAAAGGGAGCAGGAAAAAUUGAGUGGCCCCUCCCCGCCACAGCAUGGCCCUCUUCUACCAGGAAGGCAUGAGCCUGGCUCAGCCCGGAGAGCAACAAUUAAGUGCACAAAACACUGCAUGUCGCAUUGAAUUAAUGUUGGUUGAAUUUUAUUGACCCUGUAGAUUCAUUUUAACAGGUAAGAUUGUUUUGAUUUCAUGGCUGUUUGCAAGCGACAAAAAGCCUGAUUUUAGGCUUUACAUACAAGGAAGGGUAUCACAUAUUCGUAUUAGAUGUGGGAAUUUGAUUAUGCACACACAAAGUACAUAUUUUGGAUGCUACCGAUUUAACUAUGACAGUCGUAAGCUCUUAUCAGUAGCAGAUGUUUACAAUAAAUUUUCCUGUAGAAUGAGUGCUCAGAUCAUUCAGUUUCUGAAAACCCUGAAACAACUUAUCUCUGUUCCCAUAAUUAUUAUAAGAAAGAAGAAGCUAUGUAAAGAAUAGACAGCCUCGUAAUGAAUAGGAAAGGGGAGGCUGGUAUGAUAUUUGUAUAUACAUUAUGAUAACAUCAUGCUCAAAAUUAUCUCCAGAAAAAAAUCAUAAUAAAAAUAUAUAUGAAAUAGAUUAUAUGUGUGGAUGAUAAAAUUAUGUAUGGGUUUUUUUUCCUAGUUUCAAAUAUUUUAUCUUUAACAGACAUGAAUUUUAUGGUUUUAAAAUGGGUGUCUUGAGACUUGUGAUGAAUAUGGCUGGCUCCAGACGGGCACCUGAGGAGCUGGCAAGACCCACUCCUCGCAGCUCCUCCAUCCACCCGGCUCAGGCCCUGCUUUUGGGGGGGUUACUGAGCGUGCUUCUCAGGUCCCUGCCCAGCCCCCUGCCUCCAACAGAUGUGGUUUACAGGGUAAGUUUCUCUCUUAAAACAUCUCUGCAGAUGCUAAUUCUUUUCAGUGCUGCUGGCUUCCAGGAACUCCCUGUGUUGAGGAUCACGGUCAUCCUCUGUGGUCCGCUUCUCCAUGGCCACCCCCAGCAAAUACGAAACAGGCAUCUGCUCCUCGCCUCUUCUGGCUGCCUCUGCCUUCUUCCUGGCUUUCUUCUCCAAGCCUUAGCCAUGGCAUGGUGCCAAGCCAGACCUUCCUUACCUGGGUUAUCAGACCUUCCUCCUCAAUGCUCACCUUGGGAGACAUAGCAAGGAAUGCCUACCAGUACCAGAAGCACUCUGUAAGUGACUACCGUUAUCUGAUACACAACCAUUUCACAUACACGCUCUUGCACACACACAAACACUCAUACACAAUACACACAUGCAUACACUCACACACAAUGCACACAUAUACCACACAUAUGCCCUCACAUACAACACACACAUAUACACGCUCUUCCAAGACACACACACACAAUAGCACAUACCACAUAUGCACCCUCACAUACAACACACACACACUCUCCACAACACACACACUCUCCUACACAAUAUAGGUCACACAUACACACACCCUAAACUAUACACACACUCACUCAUACACCAUAUGACAUAAAUAUAAUUUAAUACCCCAAACACAAAAAUCAAUAUCUUUGGGGAGGUAAACUCUGGCACUGACCAUUUUAAAUGCCACCCACACCCCAGAUGAUUCUAUUACACAGUAGAGCAUUCUCAGAUCCAGGGCAAUAUGCUAAUGGCCCAAUGACCCAUCUUCUGAGGUCAAGUAGCUGGCAGUAUGUAACUGGCUCCAUUACAGACCUGCUAGCUGCAUCACUUGUAUGAGUCAACGUAUCCCUGUGUUCCUCCAUCGCAACUCUGCAAAGCAGUGGGGAUGAAGUAAAGGCAGCCACUCUCCAGAUCAAUGUGAGGCAUAAAGACAGAAAUACCUGUGAAAUAUGCAAGGCAGACUGGCAUACAGCACAUGCCUCAUGCAAUCUGGGUCCACUUAUCAGUCCUUGUAGUGGGAUGAGGGGGUAUCGCUUCUUGGCAAUGUAUUUGCAUACUCUGGGAGAAUCCCUGGUUAUAUCACCAGCACCAAAAUCCAACCAAACAACAACAACAAAACCAAGCAGUGAUCAAUCCUAUAAUUCAAGAUCAGUCACCUGGUUCAGGCAACAACUACCCGGACACGGCUUCCCACUAAAGACACAAGAAGUGUCACACAAAGACAAAUACAUAUGGGUGCACACACAUACAAGUACACACAUAGAAGUACACAAGAACUGGAGCCACUGUUGGGACACAAGGCUGUUUUCCCAUUGACAGCUCUCUGAAAAAUCUCCUGACCUUGAUCAGUCUCUGGUCCCCACCAGGAGUUACAGCUAAGGACACCUAGGAGUUCCGGCCUCUCAAAAACACUCUUCUGGGCGGGCCUCUGCUAAGAAGCCCUGAGUGACCUGGACAGAAACCCUGAGUGUCCUUGCAAAAGCCUAAGUGUUUCUCCUGCCCUCUCCCAGGUGAGUCUGGUGUGGGAGGGACCCUGGCAGUCUUCCAAGCCUUUGGUGGCCUCUCCUGUCCCCCUGUGUGUGGAAACCCAAAGGGCUGGCCAAAUCAGGAUUGGUUUUUCUCCCCCUCAGUUUGCUAAACCCAGCUCGGGAUAAACGUCCUCCCUAGCUCAAUGCGCUCCGCACCUGUCAGUGUUUGUUUUUAACUGACAGUGUUGAUUUAGCGUUAGGCCCAGUGGGGGAUGUGGUUACAGGCUAUGGGGAGGAUUCGGAGUUGCUGUGUGUACAAGAGAAAAUGCCAAGUUAGGUAAUGAAAACUGAACGGCCCCGGUGCUCCCGCUUAUA
rnacentral:lncRNA from 1 species